rnacentral:lncRNA from 10 species
UUCCUUCCUUGGGCCUCAAUUUCCAUGGCCCUCUUAGAGCAAGCUCCGCCCCCAACACCAAUUCCAGGCUCUAACCCGCCUCCUCUGGGGCUCCUCAAGGAGAUGGGACCUGCCCCUCUUGGAGGAGAAGCUGGUGGACCAGACUUGCGGGACAUUCACAAUGCCUCAGUGCUUAACGGGACACCUACUUGGGGAAUAUUCCCAGCAGGAGAGCAAAGGGAGAAAGCUCUAGGCUAAAGGCCAGAAGACCUAGCCCUGCCAAUAAAAUCAACCUCAUUUUGUGAAUGCCUGUUGUGUGCCAAGGACCCUGCUAAGUGCUUUGCUUGUACGUAAUCCUCAGAACAACCCUCUAAAGGAGGCAUGAUGAGUACUUUUAUCAUCACCCUCCCCAUUUUACAGAUAAGCACACUAAGGCACAGAACAGUUAAAAUUCCUGCCAGGAAAGACUCAAGUCAGACCUUUCUGAUCCCCAAACCACUCUGCCUGCUAGGCCCCGGGCUGCGGCUUCAGGAUGGGGGCUUGUAUUCUCUGUGACUCUGCUACACCUAGAUGCUCCCACUCCCACAGUCACCCUGGUCAUUUCUAGAAGGCAACAGCAGCAGGAUUUGACACAUGCCCCACAUUAGGCUAAGAGGUCUCAGGAGAAAUGGGGGCCUUUGGCACAAAGACUAUUGGCAGAUAAUCCAGGGCUGGGAGGAACUUAUUGGCAGGAAAUAGCCUGCACUGCACCUGCAGGAGGAGUGAAUCUUCAGUGUUGGUUAAGGAAAUGCAGGCUGGCCGGGCACAGUGAUGUGCACCUAUAGUCCCAGCUAGUCAGGAGACUGAGACAGAAGAAUCACUUGAGGCCAGGAGUUCAAUACCAGUCUGGGCAACAUAGCAAGACCCCAUCUCUAAAAACGGACAAUCAAACUAAGAAACUAUGUUUCCAUUAAAGCAUAUUAUUUAGUUACAUAACAGUAACUACCAAAAGAAGCAGCCCAAACUAUUCCCGUGAUUGUUUCUGGGGAGUAGAUUUGGGGGCCAAUGAGCUGUGAUGGAGGACACUUACUUUUCAUGACUUUUCCAAUGGUAUUAGUACUUUAAACCAAAAUUUUACUUUUUUAAAAAGCAAGUAUGUCAAGGCAAAGGAUCCUUCUCACUUAUAAAUGUGUAUAAAAGAAAUUUCUUUUUCCUCCCCCUCCACUCCUUCUAUUUCUGCCCUAUUUUUUUCCAGGAAGAAAAAAUGCUGGGCAUCUUGGUGCAGCACAAAGUCCGGAGUGGCGUCUCGGGCAUCGUGGGCAUGGAGGUGGAUGGGCUGCCCUUCCACAACACCCACGCCGAGAUGAUCCAGAAGCUGGUGGACGUCACCACGGCACAGGUGUAACCGUCCAUGUUCCGUGUGAGCAGAGUCCCUACCAACGGGCAGGUCUGCAUCCGGGGAGAAUGCAGCUGCUUCUGGCGACAAUCCUGCUAGUAAACACUGGUCUUCGGUGAGCAACGAACACUCGCCUGGCCUGGGAAACUGCAUGCCCACUUUCUGGGAGGGGUUAGUGCAGGUGCUGUGGACAAAGGACAACAUUUCUCUGGGGCUUUUUAACUUUUAUUCCUAAGACUCUAAAGGCGUUGAUUUCAACCCUCCUUCACUCUGGCUUCUUCAGGCAACCCACGUGGUCUCCUGUGAGAAUCUUCUCGACAGUUACUUAUGGGGACACUUGUGAACAAUUAACUGCCAGGCAGAGCAUGAGAACAAACAUUCCCAGGCCAUGUAGGAUAGGAUACUCCAGACUCCAGUCAUCCUCCCCCAUCCAUGGUUUCUGUUACUCAUGGUUUCAGUUACUCAUAGCCAACUGCAGACCGAAAAUACUAAAUGAAAAAUUUCAG